UUCACCGUGUGUGCAGCCACCAAUUCUCUGGUUAUACAACAUUUUUUUUUUUUUAGAGACAAAAGACCCAACGUGAAGGACGUAAGGAGGAUUUAUUUUGACUCCUGGUUUUGGUGGUUUCAGAUCACAGUUCUUAUCUCUAUUAAUUCUGGACCAUGGAUGUCUGGUUUUGAGUGAGACUUUGGAAAACAGAGAUAAAAUAAGAUGUAGCUGCUCUCCUUAGAACCUGAAAGGAAGGCAGAAGGCAGAGCACCUGGCUUCAGUGGAGAUGCGGGCAAAGCAGAUGGCUACAUGGUCAGCCUGGUGGAGAAGCUGGAGGUGAGUCCUGCCGUGAGGGCUCAGGAGUCUGCACAGAAGAGCUGGGCACACGGGCAUGAUUUGAACAGGGUCUCCAAGGGAGAAUGUAAAGGGGAGAAUUGUUCUGAGCAGGGCAUCUGUAUGUGCAAAGGCACUGAGCCACCACCGCUGUGGGUGUGGCACAUCUAGAACAUCUGGAGGGGAGAUCCCGCCAGUGUGCAUGAGGAAGAAAGGAAGCGACUGAGUUACAAGGUGGUACCCAAGAGAGGCAGCCUUCCACUGUGUACUGUGGGAUGAAGACAUU
rnacentral:lncRNA from 1 species